rnacentral:rRNA from 1 species
AGCUCCGCCAGUGUAUAUCUAUGCUGCUGCGGUUAAAAAGCUCGUAGUUGGAUCUGCGCGCGUGAAGCCGGUCCACCUUUUAGGUUGGUUCUGGCCUUCAGCGCUUAGCCGCUAGUUUUCCCUUCAUGCCUUUAACCGGGUGUGCUGGGUGACUAGCAAGUUUACUUUGAAAAAAUUAGAGUGCUCAAAACAAGCGUUUUGCUUGAAUAUUCGUGCAUGGAAUAAUAGAAUAGGACCUUGGUUCUAUUUUGUUGGUUUUCGGAACACGAGGUAAUGAUUAAGAGGGACAGACGGGGGCAUUCGUAUUGCGACGUUAGAGGUGAAAUUCUUGGAUCGUCGCAAGACGGCCUACUGCGAAAGCAUUUGCCAAGAAUGUUUUCAUUA